UACGGGGGGGGCAAGCGUUGUUCGGAAUUACUGGGCGUAAAGGGCUCGUAGGCGGCCAACUAAGUCAGACGUGAAAUCCCUCGGCUUAACCGGGGAACUGCGUCUGAUACUGGAUGGCUUGAGGUUGGGAGAGGGAUGCGGAAUUCCAGGUGUAGCGGUGAAAUGCGUAGAUAUCUGGAGGAACACCGGUGGCGAAGGCGGCAGCCUGGACCAAUUCUGACGCUGAGGAGCGAAAGCCAGGGGAGCAAACGGG
rnacentral:rRNA from 1 species